GGUUGCUGCCCCGGCUGUGGCGGAUGGGUCCGUGUGGAGAUGGAAAGGAGUCGGUGGGUGGGUGGGUCGGUGGGUAGACGACCAAAGCUUCGCCGGGCGGGGUGCGUGUCAUGGCGAGAGAGAGAGGAGCGCGCCCCCCCUCUCUCUCUUGGAAGUGUCACCUGAGGGGAGAGAAAAUGGAGGAGGGGGGGAGGAAGCGGAGGGAGGGGGGCUAUUGUGCGAAGAGGCCGGGCCGGAGGGUUUGAAAAAGAGCCGCUUUGUUUGGGUUGCGUUGGUGGUUGUGGGGUGUGUGUGUGUACGGGACGACGGCGCUAUCUUUAGCUCCGCUCAGCCGACGUGGGAGGCACGGGUGCCGGCGGAUCCCCGGGUGAGGGAUGGAAGGAGGCCUGAUUGGCUGACAAAAGUGGCCGUGGUGGAGCCGAGGACGCGCCGAUUCCCCGACCCUGCUUGGCGCCUUUCUUCUUCCUAAAACCAGGCACCGCUCCGCUCUGGCGAGGGGCACGGACUUUCCAUCGCGCUCCCUCCGUCGGGACUGAGGAAGACGCACCGAGCUUCUGUUCAAGGGGUUGUUAAGGGGAGCGGGGGGGGGGGAAGGAAGCGGCAGACAGAAAGAGUGCCUUGGGGGGCAGAAGAUGUGGGGUCGCCUCGGCGCCUUGACACCCCUCGGCUUCCACGGGCGCAGACAAGCGCCUCAGUCUUUGCGGCUGCGGAGCUUGGGAGGGGAGGCCGGCCGGGGUUUUCGUUCGACGCCCACCAGGGGCUGAGUGAGCCUCCUUUCAGUGCGCAAACUCGGGGCACCAGAUAAAAGCCGGGCUGGCGGCUCCGGCGCUCCUUUGAUGGAGCCGGGAGAACCGAGGGGAGGAAGGAGAAGGAAGUGAUGAUGGGCAGGCUAGAGUAGCUCGCUUCCCCUCAGCGGGGCUUCCCCGUCGGAGCAGCAGCAGGAGGAGGAGGAGGAGGAGAAAGCGGCGGGAGAGGCUUUGCUGGCUGCCCAGCCGGGACCCAGAGGCAACGGCUGUAAUAGGGCGCUGGGUACGCAGAGGGGGUGAAAAGGGCGGGCGAUUAAAUGUCUUGUGAGUGUAUAUUUAUAUGGAUGUUUCCCCCCCCCUCCCGUUGUCUGGUUCCGCUGGCUAUUUUAUUUUAGUUUUGUCUGGCGGCGGGGUAUCUUUCUCAGCACGAAAUGGCGGCGGCUGACGAGCGUCUUGUGUGCGUGUGGCGUUUUUAACUUUCUCCCUGCCCUUCCCGCCUCCUUUUUCCUGCCGGGCCUUUUCUCCGCAGCGAACCGCGGCUAGCAACCUUCAGUCGAAGGGCGGGGCCCGAGAGGAGGGUGGGUAGCCGGAAGAGCGGGAGCCAAUCGGCUUGCAAGGACGCCCCGAAGAGGCGCGUCCCGAUUGGCAGAUGCUGACAUCAUCCUGCAGCAGGGGCAGAUGCCUCCGCUUGGGUAGGGCUGAAGGGGGGGGGAGGGAAAGAACGGUCGUGGGGGUUUGGCCGCUGGCGCAAAGGGAAGAGAAGAAAACGGGCGCCAUGACAGCAGGGAGGGGAAGCGGAGCGGCGCCGGGCAAAAAGCAGCCGUGUGUUUGGGUCGUCCGCGGGCGGUUCUAAUUCCCCUCCCUUCCCCACGCCAACUCUGUUCCUUUCGCGGGUGGGGAAAAGGAGAACGGAGGGGGCGUUUGGGCGGCGGCGGCGGCUUUUCGAGCGGUUAGCCGUAACUGCGUCAGUUCAAGAUGGCGGAACGUCUCCCUGGAGAGGCGGAGGGCGCUGCUGCACGUCGGCCGGAGGUCACGUGACGGAGGAGGUGGCAUUCUUGCGACGGCUCGGCUCGGCUCGGCUUGGCUGCGCCCCAGCUCGCUCCGGAAAAGGCGGCGCCGGCGACAGCAGCAGCGAGCUUGGCUGGGCUGCCCGGCUCUCCCUUUCAAGGCGGUGGAGCGACGGAACCUUUGCCCACCGCUGGGCUUCUUUAACGUGCGCGGCUGUGCCGAGCAACCGCCGCCUCUCCCUCCGCUGUGCGCCGUAAGGUGCCUCCAGGAAGCGGCUGCUCCUUCCUUUCCUCCCCCCCCCCACUGUCCGCUCGCGUCCUCCUGCUUUGGUGCCUUUGCGCGGCGGGAGGAGCGAUCCACCCUCGUGACAGCCCGCCCGGAUGGAAGGGAGUUGCCGAAUGGAAGAGCCAAGCCUCGGCGGGUGUGUUUGUGGGUGCAGAAUAGGCGGGUGGGGGGGGUUGCUGCAAAGGCCCGUAGGAACAGUCGAUUUUUUUAAAGGUCUUUGGAAAGAGAAAGCAGGUGAAAGAUGGUAGCCUUUUCCUUAAUUCAAGAUUGCAGCAGGAAAUCGGUAGCUGCCAUCUAGGUCUCUGCGCAUCGGCCGUGUACCAAAAAAGGCCCUUCGGCGUUUUUUGCGAGAGGACCGAAAGUAAAUCGGCUGCAAAAAAAAAAAUCAAUUUUGUGUGGCUUGGUUGUAGGAUGGAGAAAUUGGUUUCUUUUUUGUGUGUGUGGAAGUCGUGCUUCGCCGAUUUGCUUUUCCAACUUGUAUGACUGCAUGCAGAAAGAAGAGUUCUAGUUCUUACUGUUUUCGGUGGAAUCUUUUGAGAGACUAUAAGUAGCGGGUAUUUCUGUAAUACCGAAAGUAGCUUGUGGUGUGUGUUGCAUUGGACGGUUGAAGUACAAACCUCAUUUUUGCCUUCUGGUUAAAUCUUAACUACUUAGCCCAACUACAGGAACAUUUAAUCAUUUUAAUAAACUAAUUAAAUGGCAUCUAAACAUUAAAAAAUAUCAAGCCAGUGGCCACUAUAGGGUACACAUUAUGACCGGCACUAGAGGCUGGUUACUUAAAAUUCUGCUAGUCUCCAUCUAAAGUUCUUCGUUUUAAUUACUGGUGAUACAUAAAUUACAAGUUUAGAAAGAAUUUUGGAAUGACAAUUUGAUAACUCACUUUCAUUCCACUGUAUUAUAGUAUAUGGAAAGUGCAUGGUUGGGCUGCUUAACCUCCCUUGCAAACAAGCUUCUUGUCACAUUAGUAGCUUCCAUUUGGUUGUUUUGAACCUAGCAGAUUUCUAUACUUUGAUAUUUGGCAAGGUUUGAUCAGCCAUAGUCCUGCUGUUGCUUUUCUUAAUAUAUUAUAUUGAUACUGCCUAAUGGCUAAUCAAUAAAAAGUUAUUUAUAUUGCAUUGUAGAAAUACUUUCCAUAAAGUCAUUACGUUUGUGGAAAAAUAAUAACUAAUGGGGAAAAAAAUAGAGGUAGGCCAGGGUUCUAUUGGCCAUCAGUUACUCCACUAGUCAGCCAAGAGGGAAGAACAAUCUAGUUAAAUCAUUUCACACUGUUGUACCCCAAAAUAUAUAAUAGCUUGAGCUGACCUAUGGCAAUUUGUAAAAAUACAUAGUAAACUUGUUUUGUUCCAUGAUCUCUGAAGUGUCAGUAACAAUGACAGUUUGCUUUCUGAGUAAAACUACAAAAUGUGCAGUUCAUGGACUCCAGAGCACCGCAUCGAAACUAACUAGAUCUAAGCUUGCUAUGUUCUUGAAACCAGUCCCAUAUAGAGCCAAAAGCUAAUCUAAAGUGAAAAGAUAUAGUUGCUCACGUACCUAGCUUUGGUGUAGGAAAGCUUUUGCUAGAUUGAAAAAGUCUGAUUUCUGUCUCCUGUUAAAUUAAUGAUAGAUACUCCAGGAGUUCGAUUCUGAGUGGCUCAAGGUUGACUCAGCCUUCCAUCCUUCUGAGUUUGGUAAAAUGAGGACCCAGAUUGUUGGGGAUAAGAUACUGACUUUGUAAACUGCUUAGAGAGCCUGUAAAGCGGUAUAUAAGUCUAAAUGCUAUUGCUCCAGUGUUAAUUCUUAGCAGGUAUCUCUCUAGAGUUUCUGACGUGCACUUCUUCUUGUAGGGGGUAAGGACUACUUUUAGGAAUAGCAAAUCUUGAGUAUUGCUAAAACUACCAUUUUUAUGUAUACUUAAUUGGGCCAAUUUUGUUUUUACGUGCUGUGGCCCAGUUCUACAGUAUUAUCAGUACAGUUAAUCCUCAAUUUACAACUAUUCUUAGCAACCGUUCAGAAUUACAAAGGCCCUGAAAAAAGUGACUUGGCCAUUUUUUCACGUGACUGCCACAGCAUCCCCACGGUCACCUGACCAAAAUUUGGAUGCUUGGCGACUGACUCAUCUUUACGACUGUUGCCAGGAUCAUGUGAUCACACUUGGCAACCUGACUAAGCAGUCAAUGGGGAAGCCAUAUUCAAUCAACGGCAGUGCCGCUAACAUCUUAAGGAGCGAUUCGCCUAACAGCUGCAGCAAGAAAGGUCGUAAAACGGGGCAAAACUCACUUAACACCUGCAACAAAUUUGGGGCUAGUUAGGCCUUGUCUGCAUUGUCAGGUGCAAUAAUAAUAUACCUAAUAAUACAUUUGACCCUUCAGUAGUAAUCUCUUCUGUUUACAAUGACUUUCUAACAGAGUUACUGGUGCGUUUUAUAGGCAGCUUAUUAAAUGUUUGGUGAAGUUUGUUUCUUACUUAACAUAACAUACUUUUUUACAUGGAGCAUACUAUAGAUUUGGAGGCCUGGUUCUUUUCAGGUGCGCUGAACCACCCAAGGAGAUUAUAUGGAGCCUCUUUCCAGAUGUUCCUCAUCUGUAGCAGUCGGGUGAAGAGUACGGUGUAGAACUCUUCAGAAGUGCUGUGUUAACUUUGAAAUGCUGAUUCUGGGGCUCUGGCAAAACCAAUAAAUAUCCUUGUGCCUCCUUGAAAGCUAACAAAAAGAGAAAUACUGUGUAAUUUUUAGAGGUCACAGUCCAUUGCAUCAGAAGUCUGGAAUAUAGGCUAAAAGAAAAUAUAAAUACAUAGGCACACAUUUGGCUGUUGAGGGAGGCAAACAAGGUAAAUAUUGAGAGGAGAGGCAGAAUUACCUAGUGAAAUUAAUUAUUAACGAAGCCAUAAUUGAGUGUGCUUGCGUGCUUGUGUGAAACGCUGGCUAAAACAUUUAUGCUUCAUUCCACAAGGCGUAGAAUCAAGUGAUGGUGAUUCUCAAAAAAUACAUACCGUGAUAAAUGUGUUAGCCUUUUGGCUUCAAACCGCUUUGUGUGUGUAAUGUUAGUAGUGAUUUUGAAGGUAAGGACUAUCAUGCAGUACAGUAAGGAGAUCUGAAACUCCUUGAUUAAAGCGUGGAUUCUGGAGUUUUCUAGAGCAUUCCGUCCUCAUCCAGAUAGCUCUAUUUCAAGAGUAUUUCGACAAUUUCUGGAAGUAAAUCCCCCAAACGAGACAUGAUCCUCAGUUUCUCAGACAUAGCGCUCUGGAUGAAACCAACCUGUUUGGGGAUCACAGCAACUUCUGGUUCAGAGGAUUUACUUUCGAUUGAACUGUCCCAGGAACUGCAUGAUUAGUGGAACGUUGUGGAAUUUUCCAAAAUAUUUAAAUCCCAGUGAAUUCUGCACAUCCCUCCGAAAGAAGUCGCAGUAUCUUCUUGGCCCAGAGUUAGCUUGAUUGUUGGCACAGCCAACACACACAGACUGUUGUGCGUGAUUGUCUUCCAGCUUACAACUGAUGGCAAGAAAAAGGAGGCAUGUUGAAUGAACGUGCGUAUUUGCCAGAUAGUGUGAAUACUUUUCCUCUGGAUUAUUUUAUAACACGGGGCUAAAACAGAUUCUAGAGUUCUGCCUUACAGAAUUUUAACACAAUGGAGGGACCUAGAAUAUUCUCUACCUUGGAGAAUAUGGAGAGCUUUUUCCUUUGUGGUCCGGAGCUAAGCGAGAACAGUGGUUUUCAAACUGCGGUGCACUGCAGCUCCUUAGAGUCACUUGGAGUAGCUGUCAGCGGGGGAAAAAUAUACAUAAACCAGUGAUUCACUGAAGCGUUCAAGUGAUAAUAUAAGCAGCAACAUCAGACUAAAAUUUAAAAAGCCUUACAGUGCUGAGUAGAGCUGUGAUCACACACACAAGCAAUCCCCCGAAGAAAUGUGUGAAUAGAAAACAUUGCAAUAUUUCAAAAAGGCAUUUCAUUGGGUUACAGAACCAUUCAUCCCUAGUCUUACUAUCCUGUUUCCUCCCCCCCCCCCCAAAAUAAGGCAUCCCCUGAUAAUAAGCCCAAGCGGGCUUUUGAGCGCAUGGCAAUAAGGCCCAAGCGCUUAUUUCAGGGUUCAAAAAAAUAUAAGACACAAUCUUAUUUUGGGGAAAACAUGGUAGCACUCGGAUUUCUGCAGAAAAAAAAACAUUCUUGAUCAGUUUUAAAAUGGAGGGAGAGAGGAUCCCGUAGUUCUUGAUCAGUUUUAAAAUGGAGAGAGAGAAGAGGAUCCCGGAACAUUAUACCAAAACAAAAACACUUCCAGAAAUGUAGUCCAAGUUGUCUGAAAAUCCUCUUUAAAAAAAAAUAAUAAUUGGCAACAUAUGUCAGCAGUCUCUGUCUACAGAUCGAGGCCAGAUUUGAUUUAUCAGCGUUUAUACAUAUAAUUCUGGGUAUUUAUUCUUUCCAAACAUUGGCUAUUGGUCAAGAACACAUGGAGCAAUCUUAUUUAACUGGAUUUACCCAAAUCCUGUGGAUAAACCCAAGGAGGUCAUGUACAAGCUUUUAAAUCCUAUUCCUCGCCAAGAAGGCUGUGAAGCCGGCGUUUAUUAAACAGUUUUUCCUUAGGGCUACCUUCCCACUUUUAAAAAUUAGGAGGGGAGAGAUAAUACUCUGGCUUCAAAGCCAAGUUUAAACUGAGCCUAAAUUCUAUGAAUUUUCUGAGGAAAUACUUUUGAGAGCUAGCACAACUAACAAGUCAUUAUUGGUAUUAUAAUUUGCAUCAGCCAUUUUUGCACAUCUUGUGUGUAUGUGUGUUCCUUCACAGUUGAGUUCAGAAGUGAAUAAAAACAACUAUGAAAACACAGCUGCCAGGAAUGGCGUGCAAGAAAUUCUUGCUAAAGAACAAUAUUUGUAGUUCAGAGUUGAAAUGAGAGGUCCCGGAGCUCUGAGCAGACAUUCCAUUACCAAACUAGGUAACAACAUCAGUGCACUUCACUUUUUGCCCUAGCUUUUGAGCAGGAAUAAUGGAUGCCUGGUUCUGUAGUUGCUACUUAUUUAAUAGUUGAUAAACUGGGCGGGACUUCCUGGUUGCAUUGGCGUGUAAUAUACAAUCAUCAUGUCUGGGUUUUAAAAACUUGUUUUUAAUUCGUUUAACUUUUGUGGGCACCAGUAGCAUUAUUACUGUUUCCUUCGUUUGGCUUCGAUCGGCAGUCGAGAAGAUUUGAACAUCGUUUGUUGGAUUCAGGAUUUAACAUGGCUCAUGAUGGACGAACAAUGUUUGGCGACACAGAGAAUGUUGUGAAACAUUCUCUUUGAAUGUGUUAUUGCCUCUUCCCAAUUUCAGGUGAAUUGGGAAGAGGCCGACCCAGUUUUGCCAGUUUCAAAAUAGCUCUGGUUCCUGUCCUUCAUUAUAGAGGCUCCCAAGUGCAUGCAGAAUGAAGAAUUACCUUGUUACUUGAAAUAAACGGUUCUUCUCCUCCUGCUUUGCCCUUGUACAACUUGGAAGGAGCAGUAAUACAGAGUUUGCAGCUCUAUAAAAUAUUUGCCUGCUUUCCCAUGUUGUGUUAAUUUUUUUCAUUAUUAUUUUUUUUCCCUAAAGAGCUGGGAAGCUCUCAGCUUUUCUCCUGGCUAUUAAAAUUCAGCUGCAUCUCUCCGUUGCCAAAUUCUUAAUUGACUGUCAGGUGGUGGUUAUUCUGUAUGAUUUCCUUCAAUCUUAAAAGAUAGGUCAUCUUAGAUUCGUAGAGGAUAAGGAAGGGAGGUGUGACGUGACGGCUCAAUGUGAAGCUGCCACAGUUCUGAUAGCUUGACUUGAACAAAUCACUUAGUGUAAUUACAUACCAUGGAUGACAUUUUAUUUCGGCCGCCUGGAUAUCAUGUUUCUGACAAAUCUGUUUAACAAAGCAGCUGGAAGUGUAUUUUCUCACACAAAUGGAAGGUUUUCAGUUUUGCUGGUCUUUCUAAUAAAGGUUUGAGCUUAGUUUCAGCCUUUCCCAGUCUCUAUCUCUAUACGGUCCCUUACCUAACUACAAUAGUCUUCGAAAGCAACCUAGGAAGGUUGCAAAUGACAGUCCUAGGACCCCAGGGCACACUCAAAGUUUAAUCACUUGAUUGUGGGAAUGCUGCAGUGGUCCUAAGUGUGAGAAGUGAUCAUAACUCACUUUUUUUCAGUGCCAUUGUAACUUUGAAUGGUCAUUAAAUGAAUGGUGGUAGGUCAAGGACAACUUGCAAUUAUCAGUAAGCGUCCAAGUAUCAGCUACAUGGGGCAUGCAGGAGUCAUGUCUAAGCCCCACCUGCACAAUGUGUAGGGCCCCUGUUUUUUAAAACAAUUAAAUGCCAAUCUCCCAUACAUUGAUUGGGAGAUACAUUCCAAAGACUUUGUAAGGUGUGAAAGGAAAACAGCCACUUUGUAAAAUACUCCUUACGAUUUCAGCCAUUUAAUGUGUUACGUUUGGUGCCCAUUCUGUCAACCUCCCUAAGUUCUGUGGGAAGCCAUUUAAUUCCUCAGUAGCUAGGGAACUGUCGCUUUAAUUCACAGGAUACUCCAACCUGCAGAUCCAAGUUGAUGAAUUUUUGAGGCCUUGAUAAGAUUUGUCAAACUGUAUUUAAAACCAAGUCUAAAUUAAAAUAGGGGCAACGCAGUGGCUUAGCGGAUAAAAUGCUGGGCUUGCCGGCUGGAAAGUCUGCAGCCCGGCAUUGAGACUCUGCCGACGGGUGAGUUCCCGUCCUCACUCCAGUUCCUGCCAACCUACCAUGUUUCCCUGAAAAUAAGACCCAAUUGGAAAAGAAGCCCUGGUAUGAUUUUUUUCAGGUUGCUUAUCAUAUAAGUCCUACCCCAAAAAUAAGCCCCAGUUAAGAUUGUCAGUCCCAAAAUAACACCUAACUGGAAAUUUAAGCUAAGGCAUUUUUUGGGAGCAAAAAUUUAUAUAAGACCCAGUCUUAUUUUCAGGGAAACGGUAGCCGUUCGAAAGCAUGCAAAUGCGAGUAGAUAAAUAGGUACCACUUUGGUGGGAAGGUAAUCGUGCUCUGUGAUGUCACAUUGCCCACAUGACUGCGGAAAAGCCUUCAGUCAGCUCAGGCUCAAUGGCCUUAAAAGGGAGAUGAGCCCCCGUUCCCCUAAAAGUCAGCAGUGACUAGCAGAGUAAAAAUCCACAAGAGCUCCUUACCUUUCCCUAGAUUAAAAUAGGACAAGAAGAAAUGGUUAGGCUUGGGGUGUUUGGGGCAAGACGUGGAAAAAGCUUUUCCAUAGGUCAACUUCCUUGCUAAAUCCAGUUGAUCAUCCCCAGCAAAAAUAAUAAUAGUAAUAAAGUAAAAUAAAGAGUGCGACUUAAGCAGUAGCAGUAUCUCCAUAGUGACAAGAGUCUGACAACAAACAGAAGCAAGUCUUCAGAUGGGGAAGCCAGAGCAGCUGAUGGGCGUUUUUAAAUAGUCCUUUGCAAGUGAAGACCGCAACUGUGAUAUUAGCAGGCAAUACUAUAUCCCGCUAACUUCCUAUCUCUUGCUUGGUUUCUUCACAAGUGCGCAAUGAGCUAUUAUUAUAAAAAAUGGCUGUUGUCAAGAUGUAAUUGGGAAAUUCUUCCUGUUUUGUGUAAGCGAUUCUGACCAGAGAGAAAAAGAUUCUUUAAAAAAAAAAUUAUUUUCUGCCAGCAAGGUAGGGCCUAAAAGCAGAGCGGUUGUGCUCAAAAAGCAGUUUCGCAAUGAUACGUAUUUGUAUGACCUUAAACACAAAUUGCUCUAAAGUAAAUCACCCAGCGAGAUACUCCCAAAGUUUACAGAAACGGUAAAUGAAAGCCACAAAAGGAGAAAGCAGGGAAAAUUACUCGGAAAUUAGGCUUUUGCUUCCUGUUGUGAAAUAAGGAAGUGAAUUAAAAGUUGCCCUUCUCCCGAAAGCGAACACAGGAUCUUCCUCAACUUACAACCUGUUUCAUUUUGGUCACCGUUCGAAGUUAAAACAGUGGCACUGAAAAAGUGACGUCUGGCCGGUUCUCGUGCUUAACGGCCUUUGCCACAUCUCCGUGGUUCACAUAAUCAAAAUUUGAUCGCCAUUUGCAAGCUUCUCGGCUGGCUUCUGAUAAGCAGUCCACGAGGGAAGCCAGUUCCGUUUAACGACCACACAGUUUACUUAACAACUGCAGCCCUUUGCUUCAACAGGUCAUAAAAUAGGACACAACUUACUUAAGAACCGCCUCGCUAAGCAAUGGAAACAUUGAACUCCCUUGCUCGUUCCAUUAUUGGUUUAUGUUCCAUUGACUCAUUACCCUAUGCAGGUAGUCCUCGACUUAACAGCAAGUUCAUUUACAUGUUCAAAAUUAACAACGGCACUGAAAAAAAGCGACGACCAUUUUUCACACUUAACGACCUUUGAGGCAUCCCCAGUGGUCCGUGAUCAGAAUCCAGAUGCUUGGUAACUGACUCAUAAUUACGACAGUUGCAAAGUCUGUCCCUGAGGGGAUCACGCCAUCCCGUUUUGUGACCUUCUGGCAAGCAGAGUCCACAGGAAAGGCAGAUUCACUUAACAAUGUGUUACUAACUCAAGAACUGCAGUGGUUCCCUUGACAACCGUGGCAAGAAAAUAGGUAAAAUGUGGAAAACUCGCCUAACGGGGUCGCCCAGCAGCAGAAAUAUUGGGGCUCGAUUGGUUGUAAUUCAAGGACUACCUGUAGUAGUAUUAAUUUCCUUUCUGUAAAGCCUGAAACAAAUGACAGGGGUUACUGGUUAGCGUCAACAUCUGGAGGCUGCUGACGUCAUUGGAAAGUGGUGGAAAGGCUGUUUUACUUACUGUCUGGGAAGAUGUAUAAAUUCCUCCCUGAUUAGUUAAUUCUUUGGCUUCGUCUUCAAUUCAGACAAGUGGCUCAGGAGCAAUGCCUACUAUUCUGUUAACCCUUUCACGAUUUAUGUCGUCCUUGGUUUGGAAAGCUGGAAUACCGAUGACAAAUACUCCGUUUUAAAACAUUUUAUCCGAAAGCAGCAGCCCCUUCGUAGCGGAAAACCUGAACGCCUUGGGCAGCCCUGCGUUUAAAGCUUGUAUUAUCCCAGUCUUGCAUUGGAGGGAAUUGCCAAUCUGUUUGUGGUAUUGAUCGUCUGUGCCUUGCCGCCCUCUCUCUAUGCAGGAUCUUGCUCCUUUCCUAUCCAUUCGUCCAGAUCAAUUUGCUUAGGCGUAACCUAGGUGCUUCAGGAGACGUGAAAAUGGGUCCCAAAUCACUUUUUUUCGAUGCCCUUGGAGCUUCGAACAGUCACUAAACAAACUGUUAUAAGCCAAGGGCUACCUGCGUAUGGUUAUUAAAAUACUGGAAUGAAUUCUAUUCUAAUAACCCCUGUGUAAAAAUGCCAAACAGAGCUCCCCUUGCCUCAUUAAAACUACUUCCCUCUGCUAUAAUUGUCACUGUGCAAAUUGCUUAAAAAAAAUAGUCUCUGAAUUGAACUCCUGUCCUCUUAAUUUUCUUGGAAAUGAGAUUUAAGUGGUUUAUCACCGCCUUCAUCCAAUUUUUGUUUUCUUAAUUAUUGUAUCUGACCUACACUUCUGGUAUUCCGUGGAAGUGAUCAUAGUAAAUUGUAAACCAGGCCCAACCCUGCUUAUCUCCUUAGGUUGACCAGAUCUUACCACUAAGGGCAGGCAAGAUAUUCCUAGGUAUUUGUCAUUUCUUAAUGGGCUGCUUCUGAACAAUAGGCUUUUGGGGGUUAUGUGUUUAAUCUGCAUUCUUUUCUUUUUAUCUUGUUUUGGUGUGGGGGACAAAUUUCUUUACAUGAUGACUCCUGCAAGGAUUUGCCUUUGCCAAGUAUUGGAAAGAAAAAGGGAAAGUUGACUGUUGAAGAAUAGGUUUUAAAAUUGACUGACCUGGGAGAGAUGGUAAAAUUAACAGCAUUGAUUAGAGACAAUGGAUUAAAUACAUUUAUAAGAAGCCGUUUGUGGACUUUCCCUGUGUUAAAAUACAAUAGCAGACUGUUAGCAAGGCUUUGAAGACUUAACUUUGUUUUUGGGGUUGGUUAUCUUUUCACUUUUUAUUUUUAAGUGAAUAGAUGGUGGAUUGACUUGAUAGAUAGCUAAAUAAUAGAUUUCCAUAUCAGUGACAUCUUUUUAUAUAAGAUUUUUGGUAAAUACAGACGGGAAAGCUUAUAACUAUUUGUAAACCUGUUAAACAAGGUGGGGGGAGAUGUAUGUAUUAUAUGUAUUUUUCAGCAUUCAACCAAGGUGGUCAUUUCAUGUUUAAUGUUAAUGUUAUAUUUGUUAUAAGCAUAUCUUUAUUACUUUUUUGUUUGGAUGUUUUUGUUUAUAGUUGGUUUUUAUUUUGUUCUAUUUUGUAUUUUAACUUUGGAGAUAAAAAUAAAAACUUUAUUAAAAAAUAUGA